GUGGUAUCCACACACACACGGGGUAGGUGGUAUCCACACACACACACACACGGGGUAGGUGGUAUCCACACACACACAGGGGAGGUGGUAUCCACACACACACACACACGGGGUAGGUGGUAUCCACACACACACACAGGUGGUAUCCACACACACACACACAGGGGUAGGUGGUAUCCACACACACACACACGGGGUAGGUGGUAUCCACACACACACACGGGGUAGGUGGUAUCCACACACACACACACGGGGUAGGUGGUAUCCACACACACACACACGGGGUAGGUGGUAUCCACACACACACACACACGGGGUAGGUGGUAUCCACACACACACACACACGGGGUAGGUGGUAUCCACACACACACACACACGGGGUAGGUGGUAUCCACACACACACACGGGGUAGGUGGUAUCCACACACACACACACGGUAGGUGGUAUCCACACACACACACACGGGGUAGGUGGUAUCCACACACACACACGGGGUAGGUGGUAUCCACACAC
ensembl:lncRNA